CAGGUAAUUGAGCCAGGUCACACCUAAUUGAGCUUAACCAUAUUUUAAAGGUCAAAUUAAGUGAAAUUGGUUGAGUCCGAUUCAGCAGGGUUUGUCAUCCGGAGUUAUCAGGUCUUGCAUCAAAAUCAGAGUCCACCUCAAAGCAGAAUAAACAAAUCAAGAUAUCAAUGGACCCCACACCUUAUCCUUUUUGGCAUCAUCAGCCAGAAAAGAAACUAGAGAUGCAGAAAAUAAAUCAAGCAGUUAAUCUCUCCCAUCUAGUCAACCAAUCUAAAUUCUGGAUAUUUUGGUGUAAGGACCCCUAAAAGGCAAGCUACAGGACCCCAAAUUGAGCAAGAUUAGAUCCUACAGAAUUUUGAGAGAAGCAAAAAAGGAACAUAAUUUACAGAAUUAAAUUUGGAUUUCAGAUGAGGUGGCUACAGUAGGUUGAAGUUGGUAACAAUGUUGGACACAACAAGAAACACCCGAUACACCCAGAUUCUUCUUAGUGUUUCUUGGCACAAAGAUCUGAUAUG
rnacentral:lncRNA from 1 species